rnacentral:rRNA from 1 species
AUUGAACGCUGGCGGCAUGCCUUACACAUGCAAGUCGAACGGUAACAGGUUAAGCUGACGAGUGGCGAACGGGUGAGUAAUGUAUCGGAACGUGCCCAGUCGUGGGGGAUAACUGCUCGAAAGAGCAGCUAAUACCGCAUACGACCUGAGGGUGAAAGCGGGGGAUCGCAAGACCUCGCGCGAUUGGAGCGGCCGAUAUCAGAUUAGGUAGUUGGUGAGGUAAAGGCUCACCAAGCCGACGAUCUGUAGCUGGUCUGAGAGGACGACCAGCCACACUGGGACUGAGACACGGCCCAGACUCCUACGGGAGGCAGCAGUGGGGAAUUUUGGACAAUGGGCGCAAGCCUGAUCCAGCCAUGCCGCGUGCGGGAAGAAGGCCUUCGGGUUGUAAACCUCUUUUGUCAGGGAAGAAAAGGUUCUGGCUAAUACCUGGGACUCAUGACGGUACCUGAAGAAUAAGCACCGGCUAACUACGUG